CAGCACCUCAAGUGGUCAGGAUGAUUAUUGGGCCUAAAGCAUCCGUAGCCGGCGCUGUAAGUUUUCGGUUAAAUCUGUACGCUCAACGUACAGGCUGCCGGGAAUACUGCAGCGCUAGGGAGUGGGAGAGGUAGACGGUACUCGGUAGGAAGGGGUAAAAUCCUUUGAUCUAUUGAUGAUCACCUGUGGCGAAGGCGGUCUACCAGAACACGUCCGACGGUGAGGGAUGAAAGCUGGGGGAGCAAACCGGAUUAGAUACCCCAGUAGUCC
rnacentral:rRNA from 1 species